CAUUUAAAUAGAAAAACUCUGUACCUUCUCUUCUGGUCAGAAUAUAUCUACCUAUCUAAUAUAUUAAUUACAGAUAUGCUAAUAUACAGCUAAUAUAGUAGACCAUAAUCAGCUGCCCUUGAUUAGUGCAAUUAGGAGACCAUAAUCAGCUGCUCUUGACUUUUGUAAUUAGUAGACUAGAUCCCAUAAUCAGCUGUCCUUGACUUUUGCAUUUAGUAGACCAUAAUCAGCUGACCUUGACUUUUGUAAUUAGUAGACUAGAUCCCAUUGCCCUUGAUAUCCCCCCUCAAAUUGAUGCUGGUCGAUCAAAAAGCAUCAAUUUGUCAACCAGAAAAUUGUGUCUAUGACGAGAGAGGGCUUUCGAAAGUAUAUCAGCAGUUUGAAGAUCAGUGGUGAUAUGAGGAAGAGGGAUAACAUGAUCAUCAUAUGCUUCGCGGAUAGAGUGACAAUCAACUUCAAUAUGUUUUGUACGCUCGUGAAAUACAGGAUUAGCACGAUUAGUAGCUCUUGGUAAUCGGCAAGAGUAUGGAGUAGAUUAUGAGGAGACCUUUGCUCCUGUGGCAAAGAUGACAGCAGUUUGGCUUGUUCUAGCUAUUGCUGCUUCUACGGGCUGGUCAUUGCGACAGAUGGAUGUUAAGAAUGCCUUUUUACAUGGCAAUCUGCAAGAAGAGAUUUAUAUGACUCCACCAUUAAAGUUAUUUUCUACAUCUUCAUCUGAUGUUUGUAAGCUAAAACACUCGCUCUAUGGCUUAAAACAAGCUCCACGGGCUUGGUUUGAUAAGUUCCGUUCUACGCUUAUUAGCUUCUCAUUUGUUCAGAGUCAGUAUGACUCCUCUUUGUUUCUUCGCAAAGACUGAUAAGGGUCUUGUUUUACUUCUUGUAUAUGUUGAUGAUAUUGUUAUCACAGGAAAUGACUCUGAAUUAAUAUCUCAACUUCAGGAGCAUCUUCAACGUUCUUUUCAUAUGAAGGAUUUAGGUCCUCUACAAUAUUUUUUGGGUCUAGAAGUGCACUCUACCUCAGCUGGUAUUUUCUUACAUGAGCAUAAAUACAUCCAGGAAUUAAUUGCUUUGGCAGGUCUCCAAGAUGGUCGGUCUGUUGAUACCCCCUUGGAAGUAAAUGUUAAAAAUUGCCGUGAUGAGGGUGAUUUUCUCUCAGAUCCCUCUCUCUAUCGGCAAUUGGUGGGAAGUCUCAACUUUUUAACUAUUACUCGGCCUGAUAUUUCAUUUGCUAUUCAACAAGUUAGUCAAUUUAUGCAGGCGCCUAGGCACCUCCAUCUAGCUGCUGUUCGUCACAUUAUUCGUUAUUUACUAGGCACUUCCUCUCGUGGUCUUUUCUUCUCCAGAAAUUCUCCUGAUCAUUUGGUAGCCUAUAGUGACGCUGACUGGGCGGGUUGUUCAGAUACUAGACGUUCAGUUACUGGUUGGUGCAUGUUUCUUGGAAAUUCUCUUAUUUCUUGGAAAAGCAAAAAGCAAGAUAGGGUGUCUAAGUCCUCUAUGAGUCAGGGUAUCGUGUUAUAUCCUCUGCAUGUUCUGAGAUCAUUUGGCUUUGAGAUAGUCUACUAAUUACAAAAUUCAAGGUCAGCUGAAUAUGGUCUACUAAAUGCAAAAGUCAAGGACAGCUGAUUAUGAGAUCUGGUCUACUAAAUGCAAAAGUCAAGGACAGCUGAUUAUGGGAUCCAGUCUACUAAUUACAAAAGUCAAGGGCAGCUGAUUAUGGUCUAGUAAUUGCACUAAUCAAGGGCAGCUGAUUAUGGUUUACUAUAUUAGCUGUAUAUUAGCAUAUCUGUAAUUAAUAUAUUAGAUAGGUAGAUAUAUUCUAACCAGAAGAGAAGGUACACAGUUUUCUAUAGACAUUCUUUCAAAAAAAAAAAAAACAAAGAUCUAAAUUACAAGAAAGGCUGCCAACCACAAUAUGAUUGACCCAAAAGGAUAUCUUGAAACCAAAUAAUUGAUCAAAAUAAUUAACCCAAGAAGAAUAACAACUCAAAAAGUUUGGAAAGGCGGAGAAAUUCAAAUAACUGGCUCUGAUACUGUGACAAGUUUUCUAGAUCCAAGACUGAAUGCCGUCUUUUGUGCAUCUUUUCCAUUUAAAUAGAAAAACUGUGUACCUUCUCUUCUGGUUAGAAUAUAUCUACCUAUCUAAUAUAUUAAUUACAUAUAUGCUAAUAUACAGCUAAUAUAGUAGACCAUAAUCAGCUACCCUUGAUUAGUGCAAUUAGUAGACCAUAAUCAACUGCCCUUGACUUUUGUAAUUAGUAGACUAGAUCCCAUAAUCAGCUGUCCUUAACUUUUGCAUUUAGUAGACCAGAUCCCAUAAUCAGCUGUCCUUGACUUUUGCAUUUAGUAGACCAUAAUUAGCUGACCUUGACUUUUGUAAUUAGUAGACUAGAUCCCAUUUCCCUUGAUAAUUAAAUGCAUAACAUAGCUAAAUUCAACUAAGUUGCAAAAAAAAAAAAA
rnacentral:lncRNA from 1 species